AGUAUGAAUCACUCAGAUUUCGCAAACAUUAAUAGCUCCAUUUUAUCGUAUAAACAUUUUAAGACUUAAGAAUAAAUGCUCUUCAAAGAGGACUAAUAAGUUUGAUAAAUUCGAAUUUACUACAAUGAUUGGAUUGCAAAUUGGUCAGCCUCGCAUAAUAGUUAAUAAGCUAGCCGAAGCAAACUAACAACUUUUAGGUUGCUUAAGCAUUUAAACUCCACACAGACUUCUUUACGAGGGAUCUUUUGAUGCUGGUUCUUUAACAUCCAAUUCAGUAAUUGAAAAAUCUUUAUGCCGAUUCCUUUACCAGACAUUUCUCCAUAUUUUAUAAAGUUUGUCUGCACACUGACUCCUUCACCAGGAAUUGCUUUAAAAAUAUUUCAUGAAGUCCUGUCAACAACUGUUGCUCUGCAUUCACACUCUUUCACCUGGAAUCCAUACCAGUAUAAAUGCAAACAUUCCUAAAAUGAUUUUUUUCAGGUUAUUUCAACUACCACUGCUCUGCACACUGACUCCUUCACCAGCAAUCUUUCCUGAAUCAUUUUAACACGUCCUUUCAACUACUGCUGCUCUGCACACUGACUCCUUCACCAGGAUUCGCUCUGAAAAUA